GAUGAACGCUGGCGGCGUGCCUAAUACAUGCAAGUCGAGCGAACAGAUAAGGAGCUUGCUCCUUUGACGUUAGCGGCGGACGGGUGAGUAACACGUGGGUAACCUACCUAUAAGACUGGGAUAACUUCGGGAAACCGGAGCUAAUACCGGAUAACAUUUGGAACCGCAUGGUUCUAAAGUGAAAGAUGGUUUUGCUAUCACUUAUAGAUGGACCCGCGCCGUAUUAGCUAGUUGGUAAGGUAACGGCUUACCAAGGCGACGAUACGUAGCCGACCUGAGAGGGUGAUCGGCCACACUGGAACUGAGACACGGUCCAGACUCCUACGGGAGGCAGCAGUAGGGAAUCUUCCGCAAUAGGCGAAAGCCUGACGGAGCAACGCCGCGUGAGUGAUGAAGGGUUUCGGCUCGUAAAACUCUGUUAUUAGGGAAGAACAAAUGUGUAAGUAACUGUGCACGUCUUGACGGUACCUAAUCAGAAAGCCACGGCUAACUACGUG
rnacentral:rRNA from 1 species